GUACGUGGUGAUUUCAACUCUCGAAUGGGAGGAGGCAGUAUAGAGGUAUCUGUGCCUAGGUUUGCUGUGGGGAUUGUAAUAGGAAGAAACGGGGAAAUGAUCAAAAAGAUCCAGAAUGAUGCUGGUGUGAGGAUUCAGUUUAAACCAGAUGAUGGGAUUAGUCCAGAAAGAGCUGCCCAGGUCAUGGGCCCUCCGGAUCGGUGUCAGCAUGCAGCGCAUAUCAUCAGCGAGCUGAUUCUUACAGCCCAGGAAAGAGACGGCUUUGGAGGCCUGGCAGCAGCCAGAGGAAGAGGUCGUGGCCGUGGCGACUGGAGCGUGGGAGCCCCUGGUGGCGUCCAGGAGAUAACAUACACAGUGCCAGCCGAUAAGUGUGGCCUCGUCAUAGGCAAAGGGGGUGAGAACAUCAAAAGCAUCAACCAGCAGUCAGGGGCGCACGUGGAGCUUCAGAGGAACCCCCCUCCCAACAGCGACCCCAACCUGCGGAGAUUCACCAUCAGGGGGGUUCCCCAGCAGAUCGAGGUGGCCAGGCAGCUCAUAGAUGAGAAAGUUGGCUUUCAGGCACCUCAAGGCAGAUAAAGAAAGGGAGUGUUGAUGGAGGACAGAUGGGCCACUGCUCACCUCAAUGGGGACGUAGAAUGGCAGAAAGAGCCUUGGGCCAGCCUAAGUUGACGGGAGAGUCAAGCAGGGGACCAAUCUCGGAGCACCUGGAGCCUUUGGACAGAGUCCAUUCAGCCAGCCACCUGCCCCACCUCAUCAAAAUACCUUUCCUCCAAGGAGCUCCGGGUGCUUCCCAAACAUGGCUGCCAAGGUGAACGGGAACCCCCACAGCACCCCGGUGAG
rnacentral:sRNA from 1 species